AUUCAUGUAAAACCCGAGGGGCCAGCACACAGGCCCUGAGUCUAAUGUGAGAGGUGACCAUGAGACUAAGGCUUGCAGUGUGUUUUUAUUGAAAUUGGACUUAAAAGUUGGAACUGCGGCCCCGGUCCUGCCUAUUUUCGGACCACGAGGAAAAUGCGUUGGUCUCAGAGGGACCGACUUAUCUGUGGUCCUUGACUCCCACAACAGGUUCUUCCAGAUGCUUCCAGCUCUCAGUAGAUAGCCAUCAGCAGUCCACACCGGCAGGCGCUGGCUCCCUCCUCCCUCUGCUGGACUUUGAGCUGCACGCCAAGAGAAAGAUAGAUGCUCCUGAUACGUGGCCGCUGCUUAGAGGUGCUUUCUUUUAACAUUUAACCGGCAUACAGCUGAAGGAAAGAUGGUCUCCUGAUGGAUGCUGUCAGCAAUGCUUAAGAGGAAAAGCCUUUCUAGUACCUCUCCCCUCGGAUGCCGUGAAGGGUUCGGGCAUCACCGGACAGGGUCCCAGCCCAGGCUCUAAGUCUGAUCCAAGCCGAGGUGCCUGCGCCAUGCUAUGCGCUCCAUCACCACGAGAGGGAGCGACGAGCGGGCUCUUCCCAAUGCUGUCCUCCACAGCCUUGCCUAGGUAAGAAGGUCCCUCGGCAUCAAAGUGGGAGGUCCGCAUCAAACUAUGAGAAGGGCAAAUUGGAAAGACGGUCAAUGGUGCGGUGGGUAGGGGACAAGUGAGGUCAUGGAAGGAUGUAUAUGGUUAUAUAUAUAUCUCACAUAAUAAAAGCCAUUAUUUUGUAUAAUUG
rnacentral:lncRNA from 1 species